GCGGCGUGCUUCAUACAUGCAAGUCGAACGAGAAGCAGGAGCUUGCUCCUGUGGAAAGUGGCGGACGGGUGAGUAACACGUAGGAAAUCUGCCUUUGGGUGGGGGACAACAGUUGGAAACGACUGCUAAUACCCCAUAUGAGCUUGGUUGCAAUACCAAUCUUGAACACUCCGGUGCCUAAAGAUGAGCCUGCGUCUGAUUAGCUUGUUGGCGGGGUAAUGGCCCACCAAGGCGACGAUCAGUAGCUGGUUUGAGAGGAUGGUCAGCCAAAGUGGGACUGAGACACGGCCCAUACUCCUACGGGAGGCAGCAGUAGGGAAUUUUGCGCAAUGGGGGAAACCCUUACGCAGCAACGCCGCGUGAAUGACGAAGCCCUUCGGGGUGUAAAGUUCUGUCAGUAGGGAAGAAUUUUGACUGUACCUACAAAGGAAGCACCGGCUAACUCCGUGCCAGCAGCCGCGGUAA
rnacentral:rRNA from 1 species